rnacentral:rRNA from 1 species
GACGAACGCUGGCGGCGUGCUUAAUACAUGCAAGUCGAACGGAAAGGCCCUGCUUUUGUGGGGUGCUCGAGUGGCGAACGGGUGAGUAACACGUGAGUAACCUGCCCUUGACUUUGGGAUAACUUCAGGAAACUGGGGCUAAUAUCGGAUAGAAGCUCCUGCUGCAUGGUGGGGGUUGGAAAGUUUCGGCGGUUGGGGAUGGACUCGCGGCUUAUCAGCUUGUUGGUGGGGUAGUGGCUUACCAAGGCUUUGACGGGUAGCCGGCCUGAGAGGGUGACCGGCCACAUUGGGACUGAGAUACGGCCCAGACUCCUACGGGAGGCAGCAGUGGGGAGUAUUGCAGAGUAGGCGGGAGCCUGAUGCAGCAACGCCGCGUGCGGGAUGACGGCCUUCGGGUUGUAAACCGCUUUCGCCGGUGACAAAGCGUGAGUGACGGUAAUGGGUCAAGAAGCACCGGCUAACUACGUG